rnacentral:lncRNA from 1 species
GCAGAAGCAGGCGCCCUGGCCCAAGGAGGAGGCCCUUCAGCAACGGAGUGGGCCUGCAUUCUGCGGAGGAUCUGGUAACCCUAGGUGCCUCCAGUUUGAGGGAGGAGAGAGGACACCCCCUCCACCCCAGACAUAGGAAAGCAGUCCACCUGCGCACCAGGGGCAGGACACGUGGCUGGGUGCAGACGCUGGCCCGGAUGUCGCGGAGGACUCGCGGGCCGGUAGAGCGCGCGGCGGCGGCGGCGGCGGCGGCGGCGGGAGGAGACGCAGGUCACGCCCCCUUCCCACCACCUCCCGCCGCCGACGGGGCGCGCGCGCCGAGGAGCCCGGGACAGGUGACUCCUAGAGGACUGCGUCUGCGCCUCCCCCGGCGGGAGUCCCUUCUUCGCGGCCUCUGCCGCCCCCUGCGUCCCCUCCUGGGCUUCCGAGAGUCUGACUCAGCCAAGCCGGCAUCGCUUCGCCUCCUACAACACACCCCGAGCGCGAGAAGAAAUUACAGGAUUGCAGGGGCACGGCUAAUGCGCUCUAAUUACCCACCGCCGCUGUCAUCCGCGGCGCUCCGCGGCGCUGGGCCAACGCGCCGUAAUUAAGACGCCGCUCCCCGGUCCCGGAACCCUCCCUUCGCCACCCUCCACCCACCCACCUCGCGGUCCCCAGGACCACUGGCUGCCAACUCCUGCCGCCCUCUGGGACUGCCCCUCAGUCCCAGGAGAGCUAUGAGGCCUCACUGGGGGCAGAACUUGGGGAGACCGAAGCCGGCCCUUCCACUCCCCUAAACCUACAGUCCUGGAAGGUCUCUGCUGGAAGAGACUGGGAGAGUGGGGAGGGGCCAGGGACCUAUUUCGUUGACAGAAACAGUGAGGUCUAUU